AUUGAACGCUGGCGGCAGGCCCACACAUGCAAGUCGAGCGGAUGACGGGAGCUUGCUCCUUGAUUCUGCGGCGGACGGGUGAGUAAUACCUAGGAAUCUGCCUGAUAGUGGGGGACAACGUUUCGAAAGGAACGCUAAUACCGCAUACGUCCUACGGGAGAAAGCAGGGGACCUUCGGGCCUUGCGCUAUCAGAUGAGCCUGGGUCGGAUUAGCUAGUUGGUGAGGUAAUGGCUCACCAAGGCGACGAUCCGUAACUGGUCUGAGAGGAUGAUCAGACAGAGUGGAACGGAGACACGGUGCAGACGCCUUCGGGAGGCAGCAGUGGGGAAUAUUGGACAAUGGGCGAAAGCCUGAUCCAGCCAUGCCGCGUGUGUGAAGAAUGUCUUCGGAUUGUAAAGCACUUUAAGUUGGGAGGAAGGGCAGUAAGCUAAUACCUUGCUGUUUUGACGUUACCGACAGAAUAAGCACCGGCUAACUCUGUGCCAGCCGCCGCAGUAAUAC
rnacentral:rRNA from 1 species